rnacentral:tRNA from 1 species
AACUGGAUAGCCUGGUGGUCAAAGGCAGCAUUUCUAGCACAGGGUCUCAGCUCAUGAUGAAGUCCCAGGUUUGAAUCCUGGUCUAGUAA